UCUCAGUUAGGACCUGGUCCAUGAGGCCUUGUCAGUGGGGCCUUGUCAGUAAGGACCUGGUCCGUGAGGCCUUGUCAAUAAGGACCUGGUCCGUGAGGCCUUGUCAGUAAGGACCUGGUCCGUGAGGCCUUGUCAGUAAGGACCUGGUCAGUGAGGAAUUGUCAGUAAGGAGCUCAUCCAUGAGGCCUUGUCAGUGAGGCCUUGUCAAU
rnacentral:lncRNA from 10 species